rnacentral:rRNA from 1 species
UACGUAGGGGGCAAGCGUUGUCCGGAUUUAUUGGGCGUAAAGAGCUCGUAGGUGGUUCGGUAAGUCGGAUGUGAAAUCUCCAGGCUCAACCUGGAGGGGUCAUUCGAUACUGCCGUGACUAGAGGUCGGUAGGGGAGUGUGGAAUUCCUGGUGGAGCGGUGAAAUGCGCAGAUAUCGGGAGGAACACCAGUGGCGAAGGCGGUUACCUGGAGCUUUGCUGACGCUGAUGCGCGAAAGCGUGGGGAGCGAUCCGG